AUUGAUUUGGCAGACAUAUUGCAUUAAAUUUAGAAUUUAAUAAUAUAAUUUUUAUUAUAAUCAAUA
rnacentral:tRNA from 1 species